UACGUAGGGACCGGGCGUUGUCCGGAAUCAUUGGGCGUAAAGAGCGUGUAGGCGGCCACUUAAGUCCUGCGUGAAAUCUUGCGGCUCAACCGCAAGCGGUCGUGGGAAACUGGGUGGCUAGAGUGCGGGAGAGGAGAGUGGAAUUCCUGGUGUAGCGGUGAAAUGCGCAGAUAUCAGGAGGAACACCAAUGGCGAAGGCAGCUCGCUGGGACGUGACUGACGCUGAGACGCGAAAGCGUGGGGAGCAAACAGG
rnacentral:rRNA from 1 species